rnacentral:rRNA from 1 species
AACGAACGCUGGCGGCAGGCCUAACACAUGCAAGUUGAGCGCGCCCUUCGGGGUGAGCGGCGGACGGGUUAGUAACGCGUGGGAAUAUACCCGACACUAAGGAAUAGCCUCUGGAAACGGAGAGUAAUACCUUAUACGCCCUUAGGGGGAAAGAUUUAUCGGUGACGGAUUAGCCCGCGUUAGGUUAGAUAGUUGGUGGGGUAAUGGCCUACCAAGUCUACGAUCUAUAGCUGGUUUUUAGAGGAUGAUCAGCAACACUGGGACUGAGACACGGCCCAGACUCCUACGGGAGGCAGCAGUGGGGAAUCUUGGACAAUGGGCGCAAGCCUGAUCCAGCCAUGCCGCGUGAGUGAUGAAGGCCUUAGGGGUCGUAAAAGCUCUUUUCGCCAGAGAUGAUAAUGACAGUAUCUGGUAAA